rnacentral:rRNA from 1 species
AUUGAACGCUGGCGGCAGGCCUAACACAUGCAAGUCGAGCGGAUGAAGGGAGCUUGCUCCUGGAUUCAGCGGCGGACGGGUGAGUAAUGCCUAGGAAUCUGCCUGGUAGUGGGGGAUAACGUCCGGAAACGGGCGCUAAUACCGCAUACGUGCUGAGGAUGAAGUGGGGGAGGGUUGGGACAGACGCGGUGGAUGGGGCCGGGGUCGGGGUAGCUAGGUGGUGGGGUAAAGGACUACCAAGGCGACGAUUCGAAAAGGGUCUGAGAGGAUGAUCAGUCACACUGGAACUUGGCCACGGUCCAGACUACUACGGGAGGGCGCAGUGGGGAAUAUUGGACAAUGGGCGAAAGCCUGAUCCAGCCAUGCCGCGUGUGUGACGAAGGUCUUCGGAUCGUAAAGAACUCUAAGUUGGGAGGAAGGGCAGUAAGUUAAUACCUUGCUGUUUUGACGUUACCAACAGAAUAAGCACCGGCUAACUUCGUG